rnacentral:lncRNA from 1 species
CAAAAUUAAAAAUAAAAAUUAAACACAGCCGAAUUUAAUUUAAAACAUUAAAGUGCAUGAAAAUAUUAAACUGAACAAUACAACAUAUAAAUAUUCAAGCACAACUAAAAUUAUUAAAAUUGCAACACUUAAUUAAAAAGAUAAAAGAAAAUAAUUCAUAUAAAAUAUUCUAAUAAUGCAAAAAAAAAUUAAAAAAAAAAGCAUAAAACCUCC